AGUGAACGCUGGCGGUAGGCCUAACACAUGCAAGUCGAACGGCAGCACAGUAAGAGCUUGCUCUUACGGGUGGCGAGUGACGGACGGGUGAGGAAUACAUCGGAAUCUACUUUUUCGUGGGGAUAACGUAGGGAAACUUACGCUAAUACCGCAUACGACCUACGGGUGAAAGCAGGGGAUCUUCGGACCUUGCGCGAUUGAAUGAGCCGAUGUCGGAUUAGCUAGUUGGCGGGGUAAAGGCCCACCAAGGCGACGAUCCGUAGCUGGUCUGAGAGGAUGAUCAGCCACACUGGAACUGAGACACGGUCCAGACUCCUACGGGAGGCAGCAGUGGGGAAUAUUGGACAAUGGGCGCAAGCCUGAUCCAGCCAUACCGCGUGGGUGAAGAAGGCCUUCGGGUUGUAAAGCCCUUUUGUUGGGAAAGAAAAGCAGCAGGUUAAUACCCCGCUGUUCUGACGGUACCCAAAGAAUAAGCACCGGCUAACUUCGUG
rnacentral:rRNA from 1 species